UCUUCUACGUGGAUCUUAUAACACAAUCCAGGUAGAAUUAACAACCGUUUUCCACAAAGGGGGCAGAGAAACCGUAACUUAUCCGUAGGCGUCUGGUUUGAAUCUUACAAGACCUCGAAUCUCUUCUCAAAAAAAUAAUAAUAAUAUCAGAAUUAUUCCGCUGGGAUGCUUAAUUCUUAAUUCUCCCCAGAAUAGGAGAAAUAAUCUUGUUGUUGUUUUGUUUUUUAAAUUGUCCACAGGAAGGUUGAGGAUCUCCAGUUCCGGGUGGAAGAAGAAUCUAUUACUAAAGGCGAUUUGGAGUAACACUCUUCAUUCUUGUGUUUCGCUCCCGUCUCUCUCGAUAACCUUUCUUGGAUGCCUUUCCCCAAAACCCCUAAUGAAAACCGCUCGUUAAAAAACACCGCCCCUGGAAAUUGGCGCCAAAGCUUUAAAACUGGCAGCGGUUCGCUUUCGUCUCUGCCGAAGCGAAGACCUGAAGAUCAGUAAUUCUAAAAUGAGGGCUGAGAAGCCCCCCCCCCAGCCAGAGCUAAGAUUUGAUGCUCAAUUAUCACCUUUUCCUUCUUUGGGAAGUUUUUCCAAGAACGCAAAGGUUUAAAGCAGUCAGGUGGCUACGCGAACAUCUGAACUGUGUUCCCAGCCUUCUUUCGCCUACACAACCCUUUGCAAACUGGUCUUCGACAGGGAACCCCUGCUGGUUUUGCACGCUAAAGCCACACGUCCUGUUUCUGCCUGCUUUGUGGCACGUUUGAUGCUUGAUUUUCAGAAACGAAACUCUUUUUUAAGAUGUUCAGUAAAUGCUUUUCCCCCUCCCCUAACCUCGUGUCUCAUGCGAAAGUUGGAAACUGACAUGCUUGAGCUGCAGAUAAUCCAGGCUGAAAUCAGGAGGCUGGAAGAGUUAAUAUUUCAUAUAUUAAUAUAUCAUCUUUAGUUCUGCUACUUUUUAUGUUCUCCGACCAUCCAUUUUAUCUGGAUUUUUUUUUCAAGGAAUGCUCAUUUUCAGCUUCUGGUUCUUUUGUCUGUUUUGUGUCUGUGUGUGUGGAUGCCUGUGAUCUGUAAACAGCAAAAACUGUAUAUUGUUAUUACUGUUAUGAUUAGUUUGAAAUACAAUGCCUACAGGAAU